GCCAAUGUGGCAUAGUGGUUUGAGUUUUGGACUAUGACUCUGGAGGCUAGGGUUCAAUUCCCAGCUCAGCCG
rnacentral:tRNA from 1 species